rnacentral:lncRNA from 1 species
AGAAUUUAUAAUCCCCGUGACUUCUGCACCACAGAGAGAUGGCUCUCGCUGCUUAGCAGUAUGGAAUCAUUAGUUACCGACGACUGAGAACUCCUCCUGUCCUGCCCAACUAGUCUCUAAAGCUAGUCUACUGUGAUUGAAUUGGGAAUACUACUCAAUGGAUGAAAUGCUGGAGAUUGAGUAACUUCUAAAGGACUUCAUCUGGCUUGUUGUUUUAGAGGCCAGCAUCUGCUAGACAUAUGGCCAAGGGCCUCUGGCUGAAUCCUACACUGAUACAGACAUCACAUGGGUCAUCUCAGAUGGAUUCUCUCUCUUGGGAAGCCACAAGUCUACCAUGAAACUGAUAGUUUUAUCUAAUCCCAAUUACUUUUCAAAGGACACACUUCAAAAAUAUCCUCAUGCUAAUUCAAGGUUUAGUUUCCAACACACAACAUUGAUGGGACACACUGAAACCAAAGUGGUGUAAAAUAAUGAUCACCAUUUAGACUCUACUUAAUAGCUGGUUGGUGAUGCUAUUUAAAUAGCCAAGUCAAAGC